rnacentral:rRNA from 1 species
GUUGAACGCUGGCGGCAUGCCUUACACAUGCAAGUCGAACGGCAGCACGGGUGCUUGCACCUGGUGGCGAGUGGCGAACGGGUGAGUAAUACAUCGGAACAUGUCCUGUAGUGGGGGAUAGCCCGGCGACAGCCUGAUUACUACAGCAUACGAUCCACGGAUGAAAGCGGGGUACCUUCGGGCCUCGCGCUAUAGGGUUGUCCGAUGGCUGAUUAGCUAGUUGGUGGGGUAAAGGCCUACCAAGGCGACUAUCAGUAGCUGGUCUGAGAGGACGACCAGCCACACUGGGACUGAGACACGGCCCAGACUCCUACGGGAGGCAGCAGUGGGGAAUUUUGGACAAUGGGCGAAAGCCUGAUCCAGCAAUGCCGCGUGUGUGAAGAAGGACUUCGGGUUGUAAAGCACUUUUGUCCGGAAAGAAAUCCUUGACUCUAAUACAGUCGGGGGAUGACGGUACCGGAAGAAUAAGCACCGGCUAACUACGUG